CAGCCGUAAACGAUGUGCGUUAGGUGUAUCGACGACCACGAGUUGUCGAGGUGCCGAAGGGAAACCGUGAAACGUACCGCCUGGGAAGUACGGUCGCAAGGCUGAAACUUAAAGGAAUUGGCGGGGGAGCACCGCAACGGGAGGAGCGUGCGGUUUAAUUGGAUUCAACACCGUAAAACUCACCAGGGAAGACUGUUACAUGAAAGCCGAGAUGAAGACUCUGCUAGAUUUUCAGAGAGGAGGUGCAUGGCGU
rnacentral:rRNA from 1 species